rnacentral:tRNA from 15 species
GCCCCUGUGGCGGAAUUGGUAGACGCGGCAGACUCAAAAUCUGUUUCUCUUUGAGAGUGGGAGUUCGAUUCUCCCCGGGGGCACCA